rnacentral:lncRNA from 1 species
CUGGGAGCAGUGGGCGGGGCCUAGAUUCCGAGGCCCAGGAGGCAGGGAUGGUGCCUCGGCGAGCCUGCGAGUCUGAGCCCUGGGGGUUGUCCCGUCCUACUCUCCGUUCAGUCAGCCGUUAUAUCCUUUCCGUAACCUCCUCCAGCAGGGUUUUAGGACACAGAGAGAAGAUGGCCAUCCAUAAAUGAGAAACAGGUCCUCAACAUUUUGCAGCCUCCUGAGUUGCUCUGUCACACUUGUACAAAUGAUGAAAACGACUCUCUGCUGCAUUUGAAAAAUGAGCUGCCAGUGGAGG